CGCUCAUGCUCUCUCUCCUUCUCAAAUAAAUAAAAUCUUUAAAAAGAAAAAAAGUCUCCAGCCAGGAGAGGUAGGGAGCAAAGGGCUGGGAGGCCUGGCUAGGCAGACUUGCUCCGGGCUCUGCAGUGACUGCUUCCUUCUCUCCACAAGACCCUUGGUGGGAAAGCCCCUUGCCUUGUCUUCUUGCCUGUCCAGGACAGGGCUUCAUGCUGCAUGGAUCCCACUGGAGGAAUGGAGUCACCCGCCCGCCAGCUACACCCCACCUGGGACACAUGACAUGUUUGAGCAUUAUUCUAAUCGCCUUCCAGAAAACAGCUGCUAUUAGCUUCUCCCCUGAGCCUCCAAAUCCCCGGUGCUCAGCAAAAUUCCCCUCUGAUUGAAGCAGCUGUGCUCGGAGCUGAGCGUCCUCCUUCAGAGCUCAUCAAAGCCCCUCAAAGGGGAGAUUAGCAGCAACUUCCCAUCAGGCCCCGCAUUGUCACCAUUCACCGCGCCAGCCGCACUCGGCCACCGCGGGCCCUCGCGGAAGACAUGGAAUUAGAGAGCGCGGGGCCCUCAGAAGCACGGAAUCAUCAAAUCUUCCCCCAAAUCAGCUUAGGGUGUUAGAAUUUUAAGGCUGCAUCCUUUCAGAAGCUCAGACUCUUAGAAGUCACCUCGAAUUUUAUUCCCAUUAAGUUUGGGGUAAAAUAAAUACAUCUAAUCUCUG
ensembl:lncRNA